rnacentral:rRNA from 1 species
UAACGCGUAAAGAACUUGCCUCACAGCUAGGGACAACAUUUAGAAAUGAAUGCUAAUACCUGAUAUUACGAUUUUAAGGCAUCUUAGAAUUAUGAAAGCUAUAAGCACUGUGAGAGAGCUUUGCGUCCCAUUAGCUAGUUGGAGAGGUAACAGCUCACCAAGGCGAUGAUGGGUAGCCGGCCUGAGAGGGUGAACGGCCACAAGGGGACUGAGACACGGCCCUU